AGAGUUUGAUCCUGGCUCAGAUUGAACGCUGGCGGCAUGCCUUACACAUGCAAGUCGAACGGCAGCACGGGGGCAACCCUGGUGGCGAGUGGCGAACGGGUGAGUAAUAUAUCGGAACAUGCCCUGAAGUGGGGGAUAACGUAGCGAAAGUUACGCUAAUACCGCAUAUUCUGUGAGCAGGAAAGCAGGGGAUCGCAAGACCUUGCGCUUUAGGAGUGGCCGAUAUCGGAUUAGCUAGUUGGUGAGGUAAAAGCUCACCAAGGCGACGAUCCGUAGCGGGUCUGAGAGGAUGAUCCGCCACACUGGGACUGAGACACGGCCCAGACUCCUACGGGAGGCAGCAGUGGGGAAUUUUGGACAAUGGGCGCAAGCCUGAUCCAGCCAUGCCGCGUGAGUGAAGAAGGCCUUCGGGUUGUAAAGCUCUUUC
rnacentral:rRNA from 1 species